rnacentral:rRNA from 1 species
AUUGAACGCUGGCGGCAGGCCUAACACAUGCAAGUCGAAUGAGGGGCGGACGGGUUAGUAAUGUCUGGGAAACUGGUCGAUGGCGGGAGAUUACUACUGGAAACGGUAGCUAAUACCGCAUACCAUCGGAUCUGCCCCGAUGUGGUUAGAUAGUAGGUGGGCGAACGGCUCACCUAGGCAACGAUCCCUAGCUGUUCUGAGAGGAUGACCAGAAACACAGGAAAUGAGACACGGUCCAGACUCCUACGGGAGGCAGCAGUGGGGAAUAUUGCAGAAUGGGUGCAAGCCUGAUGAAGCCAUGCUGCGUGUAUGCAGAAGGACUGCGGGUUAGAAAGAACUUUAAGUGAGGAGGCGUUACUCGCAGAAGAAGCACCGGCUAACUCCGUGCCAGCAGCCGAGGUAAUAC